GAUGAACGCUGGCGGCGUGCCUAAUACAUGCAAGUCGAGCGAACAGACGAGGAGCUUGCUCCUCUGACGUUAGCGGCGGACGGGUGAGUAACACGUGGAUAACCUACCUAUAAGACUGGGAUAACUUCGGGAAACCGGAGCUAAUACCGGAUAAUAUAUUGAACCGCAUGGUUCAAUAGUGAAAGACGGUUUUGCUGUCACUUAUAGAUGGAUCCGCGCCGCAUUAGCUAGUUGGUAAGGUAACGGCUUACCAAGGCAACGAUGCGUAGCCGACCUGAGAGGAGGAUCGGCCACACUGGAACUGAGACACGGUCCAGACUCCUACGGGAGGCAGCAGUAGGGAAUCUUCCGCAAUGGGCGAAAGCCUGACGGAGCAACGCCGCGUGAGUGAUGAAGGUCUUCGGAUCGUAAAACUCUGUUAUUAGGGAAGAACAAAUGUGUAAGUAACUAUGCACGUCUUGACGGUACCUAAUCAGAAAGCCACGGCUAACUACGUG
rnacentral:rRNA from 1 species